CCAGUGGUCGAUUAAAACUCCUCUUUGAAAUUAUUUAUCAGUUAAUAAAUUAUUCGUCUGAUUCUUCACUAAUCAGUGAAUUAUUCACCAUUCUAUCGGCACUUCCGUUAGAUAUAUAGGUCUAUAGGGUUUGCAAAGUCAGCAGCAGCGCUCCUCCUCCUGAUGCCCCCCCCCCCCCCCCCCACGUAGUUGGGGCAUCAUUUUUCAGUAAGCCUUGUUAGUAACGCUUCUUAAGAUGAUGAUCAAGCAGUUAAACAUCGAAAUUUGCUUUAAUUAUAUACACCGUUUUCUGCUGAUCGCUCACAGUAGGGGCUAUGGGAGUGGUGGUGGUGGGGUAUGACAGGGCAUCCCAUCAGCUAUAACAAUUUUAUACAAAAAUAUGAAGAAUAAACCCACGAAAUCGAUGACUCAAGCUUUCAAAAGGGCGAAUCACCAACAAAGAUGUCGGCCAAAGGACAAACAAAAAAUUCCCGCAAAAUCGCCAGUCAAAUUUUGGGGAUUGCCAUCAGUUGGGAUUAGUAGUUGUAGCGCGGUCCCCCCUCUCUGUCACGGCUCUCCUCUCGAAAAUAGGAGUAGUAAUGAUGGGACAGGCUCUAGAUCGGCUCUUUCAGAUCCCAAUGUAGAAAAAUAUGUAUUUAAUUCCUUUAAUUUUGCCAGUUAUUAAAAAAAAUAUGCAUUAUCACUACGGCAUCAGUAUUAAAGUGCUUUACCUAUGUAAUUACUUAACUAGUCAAUUUUAAAAUAAACGUAAUUUUCAUAAAUAGCUUUUCUCGUCUAAUCCUUUUAAAUGGUUGUUGCCGUGAACAAACCACCAAUUUUAAUGCGGAAAAUGUUUUCUUUGUUUACUGAGUGACGGAGAACCGCAGUACCUGUCAAGAACUUAACAACAGCAGUCUUCAGCAGAAGUUCCAGUCAUACUUACCGUGGAUUAAACUUUGAAGUGAUUUAGUGACAUAUGGAUCUUAUCAUUUGCAUCACAGUCAUGUGUUACGCAAAUAUGGAAUAAUUCUAUCAAGUUACCAUUGGACCCGGACCUGCCAAAGGGGAACCCGCUUACCUAUCUCCUAAAUCACACUAAAAACAAGAUGUGUUUGUAUACUUUCGGAUUCAUUUCAUUGGCCUCCGGAUGAUGCAGCCCAAGUACUCACUUCCUAUCCUUAUGGUUCACGUCAAGUGUUUGUUUAUCAUUCAGAAGUCUAUUUUUGUGGUUCAAUGAUAUACAUUACAAUUAAAUUCAUUGUAACUUA